AGAGUUUGAUCCUGGCUCAGAAUCAACGCUGGCGGCGUGCCUAACACAUGCAAGUCGAGCGAGAAAGUGUAGCAAUACAUGAGUACAGCGGCGCACGGGUGAGUAACACGUGGGUAAUCUGCCCUCGAGUGGGGAAUAACACCGGGAAACCGGUGCUAAUACCGCAUACGAUCACGAUUUCUUCGGAUUUUGUGAUGAAAGGAGCAAUUCGCUCUUGGAGGAGCCCGCGGCUGAUUAGCUAGUUGGUGAGGUAAUGGCUCACCAAGGCAACGAUCAGUAGCCGGUCUGAGAGGACGGUCGGCCACACUGGAACUGAGACACGGUCCAGACUCCUACGGGAGGCAGCAGUGGGGAAUUUUUCGCAAUGGGGGCAACCCUGACGAAGCAACGCCGCGUGGAUGAUGAAGUAUCUCGGUACGUAAAAUCCUUUCGACGGGGAAGAAAACCGCAAGGUUUGACGGUACCCGUAGAAGAAGCCCCGGCUAACUCCGUGCCAGCAGCCGCGGUAAUACGGGGGGGGCAAGCGUUGUUCGGAAUUACUGGGCGUAAAGGGCGCGUAGGCGGUUCGCUAAGUUGAAUGUGAAAACUCUGGGCUUAACCCAGAGCCUGCAUUCAAUACUGGCGGGCUAGAGUUCUGGAGGGGAUAGCGGAAUUCCUGGUGUAGCGGUGAAAUGCGUAGAUAUCAGGAGGAACACCGGUGGCGAAGGCGGCUAUCUGGACAGAGUCUGACGCUGAGGCGCGAAAGCUAGGGGAGCAAACAGGAUUAGAUACCCUAGUAGUCC
rnacentral:rRNA from 1 species